rnacentral:rRNA from 1 species
UACGUAGGGUGCGAGCGUUGUCCGGAAUUAUUGGGCGUAAAGAGCUUGUAGGCGGCUCGUCGCGUCGACCGUGAAAACUUGGGGCUUAACCCUAAGCUUGCGGUUGAUACGGGCGGGCUAGAGUUCGGUAGGGGGAGACUGGAAUUCCUGGUGUAGCGGUGAAAUGCGCAGAUAUCAGGAGGAACACCGGUGGCGAAGGCGGGUCUCUGGGCCGAUACUGACGCUGAGGAGCGAAAGCGUGGGGAGCGAACAGG